rnacentral:rRNA from 1 species
AGUGGCGACCGGGUGAGUAACACGUGACUAACCUACCUUCGAGUGGGGGAUAACCUCGGGAAACCGAGGCUAAUACCGCAUAACAUCGCAAGAUCAAAGCAGCAAUGCGCUGGAAGAGGGGGUCGCGGCUGAUUAGCUAGUUGGCGGGGUAACGGCCCACCAAGGCGAAGAUCGGUAGCCGGCCUGAGAGGGCGCACGGCCACACUGGAACUGAAACACGGUCCAGACUCCUACGGGAGGCAGCAGUGGGGAAUUUUGCGCAAUGGGGGAAACCCUGACGCAGCAACGCCGCGUGGAGGAUGAAGCCCCUUGGGGCGUAAACUCCUUUCGACCAAGACGAUAAUGACGGUACUGGUGGAAGAAGCACCGGCUAACUCUGUGCCAGCAGCCGCGGUAAUACAGAGGGUGCGAGCGUUGUUCGGAAUUAUUGGGCGUAAAGGGCGCGUAGGCGGUGCCACAAGUCACCUGUGAAAUCUCUGGGCUUAACUCAGAGCCUGCAGGCGA